GGUUGACCUCGGAUCAGGUAGGAGUUACCCGCUGAACUUAAGCAUAUCAAUAAGCGGAGGAAAAGAAACCAACCGGGAUUGCCUCAGUAACGGCGAGUGAAGCGGCAAGAGCUCAAAUUUGAAAUCUGGCCCCCCUGGGGGUCCGAGUUGUAAUUUGGAGAGGAUGCUUCGGGUACGGUGCCCAUCUAAGUGCCCUGGAACGGGCGGUCAUAGAGGGUG
rnacentral:rRNA from 1 species